rnacentral:misc_RNA from 1 species
GCAAACUUGGUCAUUUAGAGGAAGUAAAAGUCGUAACAAGGUUUCCGUAGGUGAACCUGCGGAAGGAUCAUUAUUGAGCUUGGCUGUUGGGGACUGUGCUGGCCCCUUUGGGGGCAUGUGCACGUCUCCCUUCAUUUCCACACACCAUGUGCACCCUCCUCAAGGUGGCUCCUCCGAUGUGGAGGCCGCCUGCCUUUUUCAUAUGCGCCUUCUUUGUGUCUUUGGGAUGUCUACUUUGAAUAGAGUAACAACUUUCAACAACGGAUCUCUUGGCUCUCGCAUCGAUGAAGAACGCAGC